UUGUGUUGAAAUCCACUAAAACUAAAACAGAGGGAGUAAUGUAUUUUUCUGAAUUUUGUCUGACAGUAAAUAUAUAGGACUCACGUAUUUUUAUUUCAACUGAAUUUUCCGGUUCGUAAAUUUACGUUAAGCUAAACCGAAAGUUAUUGGUAAAGAAAAUUUACAAACCGACAAUUCCGAUCAGAACCGUAAACGGAACAGCUUGACCACGUUUGAAAGGAGUGUUCCCACGUUUGAUUUUUGUUUUCUCUAAAGUUUGUGUCUUUGAUUUUGUUGUGAUUAUCAAUCGUGUUUCUGAUUCUUCCUCCCCUCCCCACCAGUUUAUUAGCACUGGACAAUCGUCAUGGAAUCGAAAUGAUUGAGCUUGAUGACGCUACGCUGCCUCCAAAUUAGAUUUUUGUUUCCGACAUUUGUAUUGUAAUGUUUUUCAUUUCCGCUUGGGUCUAAAUCUGAUGUGUCUCCAGGAGAUUCCAUGAUAUUGUCAGUGUUCGCGAGAGUGUUGGGGUAUUGUGGUACGGAUGCAGGAAAGUGCUAAGGACACUUCUCACAGAUUCUAAACGAACGAGUAUGUCAAAUUAGGUAUCUGAUGAUGAGGAUGAUUCUUUUCAAAAACUGCCCUCUUCCCCAAUCUUCAGAUUCCUCAAGAUUAGGCGCUUUGUCUUUUGUUCUGUGUUUGGGGGCUUAAUUCCAUUUCCCAAGUAGAUUCAGUGAUGUACCAAUAUCUAGGUAAGAAUAAGCUAUCUUGUCAGUUAUAUAAGUAGUACAUGGACCUUUAUGCCAAAGAAUAAGCCAUCUUGUCGGUUGUUUUUCUCGUCACCAACUCGACCAACUCUUUUUCCGGACGUUGCAUGUCCAGGAAAUGAAUUUCUCUUAUUGCUCUGAGACCA